UGUAGAAGGGUUACCAGAAUGCUGAAUUUGCUAAUUACUCUUCUCUCUGCUUCUCCCAAGCAGUGAUCUUGAGAGAGAUGGGACAAAUCUAUCUUUAGUGUGAGCUGCAACUCAGGAAACUGGGAGGCUGAGGAUGAGGGAGGGGUGGCCACUUACCAAAAGUGAAGCAGGAGGAAGUGGAUGAAGAAUUGAGUGGCCUAAAGGGAAAUGACAUGACUAAGAGGGAAUUAACGGGGAGUCUGGUCACUGGGCCUAAUUGAACUCUCUCAGUCUGUGUUGUCCCUCAGCAUUGCUUCUGGAUUUCUGUUUGUACCUCUGCUGAUGGGAGGUGAGCAGAAAUGUUUAUUUUGGGACAGUGGCUAGAAGAAAAGGCUGCUUGGAGUCUCUCUGGCUUUCCCCCUAACUUGUGGAGUCCACGUCCUCUACAUCAGGCCUUUGUUGCUUGACGCAUCAGUUUGAACCCAAAAGGGCCUACCUUGGACUUGCAGUGUAACCAGUCCUCUCCCAGUUUCUACCAGCUGCUGAAAGCGUGAAGAUUUCUCCCCAUGCUCUUGGGUUGCCUGGAGAUAAAUUGUGCUCUGAAAAGAUGUGCUGCGGGAAGAGGAGGAAAGGGCAAAUAUUGGGCACAGCUGGGCUGAACUUGUCCUCCUGCCGGUGGUUAAGCUGCAAGCCUAGACCUCUCUCCAGGCCUGAACACCCAGCCAGGCCUUGCUCUGUUCUCACAUUUAGCCCAGAGCUUUCCACCAGGCCUUGGCAAUGUAGCUCCUGAAUGCUCAGAGGUUCAUUCACAGAGACUGAUGUUGUUUGGAGUCCUGGAAAGUCCCCUUUGAAUAGUAGGUCCAGUGUGGGUGAAAUAAAGUACUUUCCUGGAAAAGAA